rnacentral:lncRNA from 1 species
UCUGUUGCCCAGGCUGGAGUACAGUGGGGUGAUCUCAGCUCACUGCAACCUCCUCCUCCUAGGUUCAAGUGAUUCUUCUGCCUUAGCCUUCCAAGUAGCUGGAGUUACAGGUGCUCGCCACCAUGCCUAGCUAAUUUUUACAUUUUUGGUAGAGAUGGGGUUUCACCACAUUGGCCAGGCUGGUCUCGAACUCCUGACCUCAAGUGGUCCACCCACCUCGGCCUCUUAAAGUGCUGAGAUUGCAGGCGUGAGCCACCGCACCUGGUCUGAAGAUCCCGUCUCUAAGAUCACAUUCUGAGGGUCUCUUCUGCAGGGUCCCCAUGAAUUGUGGCUGAAGUUGUGCACAAACAAGUAUCUCCAGUGACAGGAGUGCCUUCUGAGGCAGCCCAUUGCAUCUUCAUCUGCUGACACUCUGCUAGGCUGACUUCUGUAGUUUUCACCACUGAUCUUCAGUCCACCUCACAGAGCUCUAUAAAACGCUUGAAUCCUCUUUACAUCAUAGACUUUCAGCUACUUGAAGAUAGCCAUCAGCCGCUACGUGACUCUUUGCUCCAGGUAAAAUCUCCAGUUAUAGCAGCUGUUCUUCAUAUGGCCUAGUGUCUAAUGCAUUUGCUCUCCUG